GACGAACGCUAGCGGCGUGCUUAACACAUGCAAGUCGAACGGUGAAGCUCCAGCUUGCUGGAGUGGAUCAGUGGCGAACGGGUGAGUAACACGUGAGCAACCUGCCCCUGACUCUGGAAUAAGCGCUGGAAACGGCGUCUAAUACUGGAUACGAGAAGGGUCCGCAUGGGCACUUUCUGGAAAGUUUUUCGGUUGGGGAUGGGCUCGCGGCCUAUCAGCUUGUUGGUGAGGUAAUGGCUCACCAAGGCGACGACGGGUAGCCGGCCUGAGAGGGCGACCGGCCACACUGGGACUGAGACACGGCCCAGACUCCUACGGGAGGCAGCAGUGGGGAAUAUUGCACAAUGGGCGAAAGCCUGAUGCAGCGACGCCGCGUGAGGGAUGACGGCCUUCGGGUUGUAAACCUCUUUCAGCAGGGAAGAAGCGAAAGUGACGGUACCUGCAGAAGAAGCACCGGCUAACUACGUG
rnacentral:rRNA from 1 species